UUUUUUUUUUUUUUUUCAGUACUAUAAGGGCUAGUUUGAUAAGGGUUACUAGCAUUGCUAACUAGUAUUUCUAUAGAUAUAUGUGUAUUUGAUAGUAUUGACUAUUUAUUCCAUUGGCCCGCAUAAAUGCAAGGGCCCGCAUGACUUUCACUAUUCCACUUAGAAAGUGGGUCUACCCUUCCCCUUGAGUUAUUUAGUAUUGUUUUCUACAGUACCAGCUACUAAUUUAUAUUUGACUAAUUUAUCCCCACACCAACCACCACAUUCCCGAUUCACUUCAGAAAAUAAAAUUGGGGGGACCGAAAUUCAAACAAAAAAAAUCAAGAGCUCAAGAAGAAAAAUCCCGCUCCAGUACAUAGAUUGUCUUCUUCAAAUAGUGGGGAAAUAUCUAUUUCUUCUAGAGGGAAAUCAACUGCUCGCCGGUAAGUCCAACGAAAAAGUAUGGGUUAUUUUUGUUAAAUUUUUUCUAAUCCACGCAUGUCUCUGUUGGCUUGAGGGUUUCUCAUGUAUAGAAUUUUUGAUUCAAUGUUGUUUGGUUUCGAACUCUGGGAUGCCGUUGGUAGCUAGGUUUUAGAUGGUUGUUUGUGUUCAAUUGUUGUUUGAUUUCGAAAUCAUGGAUAAAUGUAUUCUUUUUGUCGAAUUUUGUUGUUUGAUUUUGACUGAUAUGUGUGUUUUGAUUCUGGUUCGGUGUUGUGUAUACAUAUAUUCAUUUGGAUAUCAGUUCGUUUAUGGUUGCUGCUGUUAUUUUUUUUCUAAAAUUUGCUGCUAUUGGUUCUAUGUUUCAGAUGUUAGGAUACUUGUUGUUGAUGAAAUUAUGUGAACCGAGUUUAGUAAUCUGAAAAGUUGUGAUUCCUACCAGAUUGAGUUCAUAUUGCUGUUACGAUGAGCGCCUGAAUUUUAACUCCAUUAUAUUUAUUUCAGUUUAGAUGUGGUUUACAUGAAAGUGCUCAUGUGGUGUGUGUUGUUUCUGAAAUGCAGCCUUGUAGUUAUAGCUUGAAAUCACCAUGCCAUCUGACGAGAGUGAUAUUAUUUGCGUGUAUUUGUUGAUGGAAGAGUUGUUCCAUCAACAGUUAAAUCUAAUAUUGAUAGCCUAUUACAUUAUGCUUAAGAUGAGAACACGUAAACGUAAGAGAUUGGUUAGAGCUGCCACCUUUGGGUAUAUUGAAAGGAUGCCCGAACAAGAGAAUCAUAUGAACAGGCUAGUAGGAGUGACUGAUGUAGAUUGCAUUGCAAACUUAAGAAUGGAUAGGAACACAUUUGGUAGGUUGUGCCUUUUGUUACGUGAUCUAGGCGGGUUGACUGAUGGGCGGUACGUUAGUGUAGAGGAGCAAGUGGGAAUCUUUUUAUCAGUCUUGGCACACCACAAGAAGAAUCGGGUUGUUAGGUUUGAUUUCUGGAGGUCUGGGCAAACCGUUUCACGAUUUGUCCAUGUCGUUUUAAAGUCAAUAUUAAAACUCCAUGUCAUUCUACUUGUAAAACCUGUACCCGUACCGGAAGAAUGUACAAAUGGCAGGUGGCGGUGGUUCAAGGUAAUCCACUAACCAUUUCUAUUAUUGCACACAUCUAUUGAGCAUUUAAUGAUUAUUUGAAACUGAAUUCAGCAUCCUACAGCUCUUAUCCAAUUACUUAUAUGGUACUUAUGUUGAUAGGGAUGCUUGGGUGCUCUUGAUGGUACAUACAUAAAUGUUAUGGUACCCAAUGACGAUAAACCGAGGUACCGGACAAGGAAGGGCCAGAUUUCAACAAACACUUUGGCUGUAUGCGAUCGCUCAUCAAGGUUUGUCUACGUGUUACCUGGAUGGGAGGGGUCAGCGGCUGACUCACGGAUAUUGCGGAAUGCUCUUGUGCGUGAAAACGGCUUGAAGGUCCCUAAAGGUAUUCUUGCACCGUGAACAAGGAUCUCAUGAAUUUCAUACAAGUUUCUCUACAACAAGUCUAACUGAUUGGUGUUUGAAAUCGCAGGCAACUAUUACCUAUGCGACAAUGGCUAUGCAAAUAGUGAAGGAUUCCUUACGCCGUACAAAGGGAUACGAUAUCAUUUGAAGGAGUGGGGGCCGAAUAAUGCACGACCUCGGAACGCGAAGGAAUUAUUCAACCUUAGGCAUGCGAAAGCGCGGAAUGUGAUCGAGCGUGCAUUCGGUAUUCUAAAAAUGCGCUGGGGUAUAUUACGAAGUGCAUCUUUUUACCCUGUAAAGACACAGAAUCGCUUAAUAAUGGCUUGCUUUAUCCUCAACAACUUCAUCCGCAAUGAGAUGCCAGUGGACCCUAUCGAGCAGCAAUACGAUAAUGCAGCUGCAAAUGAAGAUGACGACCUCGAUAAUGAUACUGAAUUUAUUGGUGCUAUUGAGUCUUCGCCACAGUGGAACGCCGAGAGAGAUGCUAUAUCUAACUCGAUGUGGCACCAGUAUAUAAAUCAUUAUUGAGUUGAUUUAGUGAUGAGUCAAUUAGUUGGAACCUUGUUAGUACUUUCCUUGUAGUUGGUGAUUGCUCUCACAGCUGUCAUAAGAAUGAUUGGCAUAUGUUUUGGCUCGAGAGCACAUUAUGUCUGUAAUUGCUAUUUUUAUUUUAUUUGAGACUCUUAUGAAUGCAUAACUUAAGUAGAAGUAUUUUUUUUGUUUCACUAAUAGCUAAUGUAGUUCUGUUGUCUCCGAAUAUGAAAUUGGUAGAGUACUCAUUGUACCAAAUUAAUGCACCUGACUUUUCUUGUUGUUUCUUCCUUCUAAUGGCUGCGCAUUUUGCUAAGAUUGAAUUGAAAGCUGCGGUCAUUUCAUAUUAAACAUAUCUAACAGCUACCAUCAACAACCCAUUUCUUCCAUUAGUUGUGAAAUCCAAAGCCAAUUAAUGAACUCAUUAGUUAUAUUAUAUUUUUGUGGCUUACAAUUCAUGAAGCAACCUUUUAUAAAUGAGCUACCUAUGUGAAGAAGUUUCACCACCAAACUCUCGUAACUGUUAAAAUAGCAAGCUCAUCUGUUCCACAAGCAGAAGACAUCCCAGCAUGAACUACGAUGGCCCGAAGCAGGAGUGGUUCCUCUACAAAGGCCCAUGGAACGAGGCACUAGAUAGUUAUCUUUGCCGUCGUUUGUUCGAACGUGAGGAAGAAUGCAAGCCGACUCUGCCCGUCGAUUCACCUCAUGCAAUGAUUUGUGCUAUGGAAGCACUAAAUAAGGAACUCAAUGCUGGUGUCAUUUACGACGACGUACUUCAGCGGGUUGAGUUUCUUCGAAAACGCUACUUAUGCUUCAAGAAACUGGCUGCUAAUGUGAAUACGAACUGGGAAGCUUCCAACAACUGUAUCACGGCGAACGACAGCGUGUGGAAGGAAAUCUUCGAGGUAUAAGAAUUUAGUUCUCAUUACUAAAGUAAUAAAUGAUAUGCAUUCGUAGUGCUUCAUCAUCUAACAUUUUAAAUCUCUUGCGAUUCAACUUGUUUGAUUUCGACAGGAGGAUGAUUUCGCAAAAGCUUACUACACCAAAGGUGAUCCUAUUUGGCGCAACCUUUGCCGUCUUUUUGGGUACAAUAGCGUCAAGCAAGAGGCGGCGUCCCCGACUGUGAUACUCAUCUCCGAUUCUCCCCAUGCAAUGCCCGCUCGUGAGCGUGCACCAUAUAUAUCUAUUUCCGAAGACGAGGUGACAUCCCCCGUGAUGAAGCAACCAACAUCCCGUAAGUUAUCCUUUAAUGAUGAUGAGUCAUCGAGCAUCGGUAAGGUUAAGGAACACGAGGACAGCUCUUGUGCCUCGUCGAGUCCACACCAGUGAACUCGCGUUCGACCUGGUAUAAAAAUGGUGGCCUCUUUUUGUUUGUUCUUUUUGGGUUGAAGAUGAUAUUAUGUGAAAAUGGCGGUUGAUAGGGGUUUUUUUUGUUUGUGUAGAAAUGUUUAAUCAUGUGUAUUUAGUACAACCCCUCCCCCAAUUAGCUUUUGUGGGUGUUUGUGACAUUAUGUACUCACCUAUUAUCAAGUGAAAUUAAGUAUGCUUAUGUGUGUUUUAUUUUCAGAUACCUAGUUGGUAUUCAAGCUUAAUUUGUUAACUUUGGGGAUUUUUCUACAAUCAUAUUUAUAUUUUUCGAUCACCCAAAUUUGAACCAAAAAAGAAUACAAAUGAAUGCUAUUCAUUUCAAGAGACCAAUGUAAGUAACAGGGAUAGAUCAACAAAUACAUUUUAUAUAAGUAGAACAGAAGGAAUGCUAUUCAUAAGCCACACAAUCAAACUAAAGUCAAACAUCAAACUAUUUACAUAGUGAGAACAAAUCUCAUUUUUUCAGAGACUAUCACAAGCCACAAGCUAAUAUUUUCCAAAAUAACACAUCUCUUUUGUCCCACUCAAGAGAAUCACAUAACAAUGGCAACACUUUUUCUAAGAGAGAUUGCUCAAGUUCAAAAACCCAUUGAGUUCUCCAUAUGCAAACCAAAAUAGAUUACUAUAGACGGUUUAAAUUGUCCUACUGUCGCUUGGUGUCGAGUAGAUAUGCGACAUACUGUGGCUUUGCAUCAUCCGGAAGGCCCAUAAAGAGUUCGAGUCACUGCGUUUCACCAGCUAGUAUCUCGUAGGCGUAGAACUUUUCUUUGGUAUCUAAGUUAGGCAUGCCGUUGAGUUGAUCGUACACUUCCUUUCUUGCUUUAGCUAAAUCAAAUUUGUAACCUAUUCGUGAUGCAAUACUGUCCAUCUGCAUUUUGGAAUCGUGCCCCAUCUCUCCCAAAAACUCGAACAGCCUUUCAAAUCCAUCGCUAACCUUACGUUUCUUGCUUGUAGACCUAGCUGCGACCCCAGACUUUUCACUUUGGCAUGCACUGUCAGCUACUCCUUCUUGUUCAGCUUCAUCUUGAACGUGUACAUAAUAGUCACCAUGCAAUUUGUCGUUCGCUUGGUUACGUCCGUCAUGCAUCUCAUUGAUUGCGUCCAUGACAUCUUCUGCCUCUUUGCCACUUGCUCGGUCCUUGCCAAAUAUCUCUUUCCAAUCCUCCCAAUAUGGCCAGCUCUUGGAACGCAUUAGACGUGCAUUCGAGUCUUCCUACAUAGAAAACAACAUGUAUAUUGACCCCAUCAAAAAUCAAUCAAGCAAACAAGUAAAACAUACUCAAUAAAGCGUAUAGAAAAUUAAAACAUACCUGUAGAAUUUGCUCCCAUAGCACGUUAUCGCAAUCAAUCAUAUACUUCCCGUCAACAUUGAAUCCAACACCGGUCUUCUCUAGUAUAAAUGAUAAAGAAGAAUAAUUCCUCUUCCAUGUGCUUAGUUUCGAAUGUACAUGUGGCAUUCCCUUAAGAUCAGUCCCUGGAAAGAAGCUCUUAAGAGCUUCUUCAAGCUUACCUAGAUACCCAGCGCGGAAUCCAUUAUCUGAUUUAAAACCUUAAACGACAAGUUCCUUCAAGGAUGCUAACAACACCUCCUCCUCCCGAAUGGUCCAACUACGUCUGCUCUUGUCACCUUUUGAAGCUUUCUCACGACCGAUCUCAUUGCUCACCGAAUCUACAAUCGCAAAUGAAUACACGAAGAACCAUUCAGUACAUAUAUAUGUCCGAAUUCUACAAAUAAUUAUACAAUCCAAUAUAUUAUAUCACCUGGAAGUAAUGGCGCAAUAUAGGUCACCACUCAUGCAACACAAUCUCAGAAAAAUUUCAAAUUUAUGCAGUAUAUAGGUUGAAUCGUUGUGUGCAGUUAACCACUCACGAAAAUAAUGCACAUUAGACAAUCGAGGACAUUUCUGAUUUUUCCAAGCGAAAAUAACGAAAUCUACACACCUAGAUAGAACACGAGCAUUUAGAAAUUGAAGCGACCACUUUUUUACUCAUGAAAUUUCAAUCGAAAUGUGUAUCUAGCAUUGAUAUUGCAAUAUCGAAUUUCAAAAUUUUACACCAACAAAUCAAAAAAUCUAUGAAUAUCUCGAUGACUUACUUCCUUCAACUCUGGACAUGGCGUCAGACAACCGCGUCGUCUUGCGAUAAACAAAGAUUCGCCGGCCGCCGGCGGUAUUCGCCCUCGAUGGAGUAGUUGCUCUUCUCUUCGACUAUUGAACUGCAACCGGUGGAAUUUGGCUGAAAGAUUUUUCGCGGGUUAUAAAUUGGAGGCGCAAGAAUCUAGAUACAUUUGCUCUCCCGCUCUAAAUAAUUGAGGGACAAUUCGGUCAAUAGAUCAAUUAUUUGAGGGCAUUAUAGGACUGUUGAUUUUAAUCAUUAUAUUACUAAACCCUAUCAAACAUAAUUUAAAAAUUACUUGGAAAUAUAUCUACCGCAUGUAAAAAGCUAUCAAACCAUAUAUUUACUAAUUUAUUAGAAAUGCAGCAUUUCUAUAGUUCACUAUCAAACAGGGCCUAAGUGAAAAUAAUGNUGUUUGUCGAUCUGGGACUAACGGUUGUUACAAUUGUGGCCAAAAGGGUCACUACUCCACGCAAUGCCCCAACAGACAACGAGGUUCAGCAAUUGAGAACACCCACACCCCCUUGCCAGCAAUACGUGAACACUUGCGAAAUCAAUCUCAAUCACAUCAGUGAAAAUCUUAUGGAGAUACCGCAGACAAGAGAAGCUACGUGGGAACUUGAAGACAAGAUGAAGGAAAAAUACCCCGAACUGUUUAGCAGAGAUAUGCAAAUUUCGGGACGAAAUUUUUGUUAAGAGGGGUAGUAUGUAAUGACCCGCAUUUUUAUUUUUAUUUAAUAUGGUAUCGCGAUAAUUAAUAUAGCAUCUUUCAGUAAAUGAAACCCAGUUACCAGUUAUAUAUGAAUUCAGUUUAUGAUCCUGAUUUUUUUUUAUCAGAGAUGGAGUAUUAUUUUAGCCGUAUGCUUUUGUAUGCAUGAGAAAAACGCGACGAGGAUUAUUGAACUAUUCAAUAAUUAUUAUUUUUAAUUGACUUAGCGAAGUCAAGUUAUUUAUUAAUCGAGAAACGGAAGCAGUUAUAUUUUAUUAGUGCUACUAGAAGUCGAGGAUUUAUUCCGACAGCAAAGCAGAUUAAAUCUACGGAUUUAAUUUAAGUUAUAUUAUAGUUUAUCAAGUUAGCAGGCAAGGAAAAAGAUAUCAAACAGAUACAAUAACGGAUGAUAGAGAAUAAAAGCCAGUAUUUUAUUACAGUUCACGAAUACAGUCUACUUCCCAGCUUGGGGAAAAUUGUAUAGUAUUUUACAAGGUUGAAUUUACCACCAUUUGCUUCCCCACCACUACACCUACUCUUCCACUCCACCAACUUCUCCACUACAUUU
rnacentral:lncRNA from 1 species